GGUUUUCCAGCCAGCAGCAAUGUACAGUUAUCAGGACCUGUGCAAGUGAAGGUCUGGCAAAUAUUGGUGGAGACAAGAUUACAAGAUUGAGG